AACGAACGCUGGCGGCAUGCCUAACACAUGCAAGUCGAACGAGACCUUCGGGUCUAGUGGCGCACGGGUGCGUAACGCGUGGGAACCUGCCCUUAGGUUCGGAAUAACUCCCCGAAAGGGGUGCUAAUACCGGAUAAUGUCUUCGGACCAAAGAUUUAUCGCCUUUGGAUGGGCCCGCGUUGGAUUAGCUAGUUGGUAGGGUAAAAGCCUACCAAGGCGACGAUCCAUAGCUGGUCUGAGAGGAUGAUCAGCCACACUGGGACUGAGACACGGCCCAGACUCCUACGGGAGGCAGCAGUGGGGAAUAUUGUACAAUGGGCGCAAGCCUGAUCCAGCAAUGCCGCGUGAGUGAUGAAGGCCUUAGGGUUGUAAAGCUCUUUUACCCGGGAUGAUAAUGACAGUACCGGGAGAAUAAGCUCCGGCUAACUCCGUG
rnacentral:rRNA from 1 species